GGGUUGUGGCUCAGUGGUAGAGUACUCACUUAGAACAUGCAAGGUCCUGGGUUUGAUCCUCAGCUCCA
rnacentral:tRNA from 1 species